UACGUAGGGCGCAAGCGUUAUCCGGAAUUAUUGGGCGUAAAGAGCUCGUAGGCGGUUUGUCGCGUCUGCCGUGAAGGUCCGGGGCUCAACUCCGGAUCUGCGGUGGGUACGGGCAGACUAGAGUGAUGUAGGGGAGACUGGAAUUCCUGGUGUAGCGGUGAAAUGCGCAGAUAUCAGGAGGAACACCGAUGGCGAAGGCAGGUCUCUGGGCAUUAACUGACGCUGAGGAGCGAAAGCAUGGGGAGCGAACCGG
rnacentral:rRNA from 1 species